rnacentral:lncRNA from 1 species
UCCACUACGGCAGACAGGUUGCGAGAUCAUCCAAAAGUUACCUAGUUCGUAUGUCCGGUUAAGGUUUGGUUAUGAGAGGAGUGAAGGGUGAGAUGAGUGAGGUUGUCUGGGUGGGUUACUUUGGAAUUGGUUUGGUUUGCGGUUAGGUUAGGUUUGGUUUGGUUUGGUUUGGUUAUGUUAGUUUAAUUCAGUUCAGUUUAGGUCAGUUUGGUUUCGUUUCGUUUGCAUUUCGGGUUGGGUUGGGUUAGAUUGGAUUAGAUUCCAUUUAGUUUCGUUUCGGUUGGGCUUAGUUUGGGUUCGUUCACCCUUGUUUUGUUUGUCAUGAGUUAGCCUUGCGUUUAACCCAUUCAAUACCCAGACGCAUUUUUACCGUGAGUUUCGGGUAUAAUUAGAUGAUUUUAUUUGCAUUAAGAAGGGUCUGUGGAGGUCAAAAGAUUAAUAGCCAGAGUCUUUACUAUUUUAAUCCCCACAUAUGUUUCUGAAGCUGUAUAAAAUCUCCAAAAUACUCGUAGUAACCAGAACUGACUUGAUUUGAAUGGCACAACAUGAUUAUAACUUCCGGGGGAUCCUUACUAUGAAAUGAACAGAUAGCACAUCAUUUCCUGCUACACAACAUCCGCGCUGGCUCAGAUCAUGACGGGAAUAAUGAAGGGCGCUGGUGUGGAGAGUGUGGGUCACAAGGUAAGGCGUGGAAUGUGGACUCAAGUACCAUGACAACACACCUCUCACGCUGUAGUUAGAAGCUUCGUGUGUUGCGUCACCAUGGAUUCACAACGCGGGGUUAAUAAAAAAGUAUCACCAUUGUAAGAACGUUGUGGUGUAGAUUUAGUUUUUUUCUUUUCUUUUUUUUUUUCAUGAGGGCAACAAAACGAAUGAAUAAAAAGGUCUAGUUAGUAUGUAAGUCAAUUGAAAUGCAGGUAGUUUGAAAUGAUUCGUGACUGGGUUGCAAACUAGGAGAAAUUGGAAUAAAAGAAAAAUUUAAAACAAAGUAAGAUUAAGCAGUUUGAUAAAUAAUAAUAAUAAUAAUAAUAAUAAUAAUAAUAAUAAUAAUAAUAAUAAUAACGAUAAACAUAUCUAAAAAGUUUACGUGCCAAAUAAAUACCCCCUCAAAAAGUUAAAAUAAUAAUCACGUAAAUAAACCAAACUGUAAAUGAAUCUCAACACAAUAACACGUACAAACACACAAACGGGGCAAAUUUCAUGAAACAAUAACAAUCACAGAAAAUAACAAAAUGAACAAAAUAAAUAAAAAUAAUUGAAUAAAUAAAUAGAUAACAAGACAGGAAGACCACAACAUAACGGCAACACACACGAGAUACAGACGGGGCGGGGUACAAGUAGGCGGCGCGUUGUUCCCUCACGCCUCGCAGCGCCCUCUGUCCUGACGCCCACACAACAAGCACGCCCCGAGUCACCCACGAAUCAAAGACGUCAAGCUGAUCUCCUUUCAUUCUUAAUUCCAAGUCACUGUCCGAGCUACUGUCUGUUCCCAAGGGUUCACUGCUUACGUCACCACCACCACCACCACCACCCAUUACAAGAGAUACAUUCAAACCAUGCACGUCACACAACAGCCUCCCAGACAACACCACCACCACCACCACCAGCGCCAUCACGUGUGUCUCUAAGGUCAUACGCCCUCACGUGAUGGACUCAGCAACUUCUAACCAACGCCAUCCCGACGCUUGUGUUUUUUAGAAGACUGGACCGCGGUAACUCCCUCUCGGCGCCACCAUCACCCCACCCACUCCACGCCACGCCAUGCCACCACGCCCACUCCAUCACGUGCUUAUAGUUAUAGUGUUUCUUUCUCUUUUACUGCUAUGGGUGUUCUUGUAGUCUUUAGAACAGUGUGGGAAUAAACUGCGUUGUGACAAUUGGGGUGUGGCAGAUAAUUUAAUUUAUUUCGUUUAUUUUUGUCUUUUCUUUGAAGCUACAUAUAUUUUGACGAACUGGGUACUAAAAUAUAAAUAUCUUAAUAAAAUUGUCGGUGUUUAAAUGAAAUAUUGUGUAGCAGAGGCAAAGGAUAUAUAUAAAAAAGUAAUUUUCAUCUUUUUUUGGCUGGGUUAUUUAAAUAUUUAAGUUAUUACGAGAAUGAGUGAUUGAAAAGUUUUGGGAUAGAAAUGAAAGAUUAAAAUGUAUACCAGAAACAGAGGAAGGAAAAAAAGUUAGAUUCGUCUUUCUGGGGUAAGACAUAGAAAUAUUCAAGAGUUAGUACAAAAAUAAGUGAUUGAAAAGUAGUUUUAAAUAAAAAAUGAAAGAUUGUGGAGAAGAGUAUAAAUAUUUACGAGAGUUUAGUGUAAAAAUAAUUGUUUGAAAAGUUAUUUGUCAUUAAAGGAGUGUGCAGCAGCGUGAGAAUUCCAGCCAAACGUCCACAGCUUCAUUUCUCCAUUCUGAAACGCUUCGUGGUCUCAUCAGCCUAUUUAGAGACGAUUUCCAGAUUCUUGUAGCUAUAUUUCCUAGUGACGAUACAGAGGCCUUGUUAAUCUCUUCAGGACCAGGACACGUUUUCAUAUUAAUUCUAGUUACUAUUUGGUGAUUUUAUACAGCUUCAGAAACUUAUGUGGGGGUUGAAAUAGUGAAGACUGGCUAUUAAUCUUCUAACCUCAAUAGAUCCUCCCUAAUGUAAAUAUAAUCGUCUAACCGUACCCCAAAAAGGUUAAAAUGUGUCACAGUACUUUCCUAAAACUAUGAAGACACAAGACACUUUCGAAAACCUUAGUAAUUUACACUACGAGCUUAUCUCUUUAGUAUCCGGUUGUUCUGAAAUGUUUAGUGCUCUUAUCAGACAUUUCCAAAGGUUAGGAGAUGAUAUUCAGAUUCUCAGAUACAACUCAUAGUGUUCGUGUGUAAGAAUUGUUAAACUUUGACUGGUAUCAUUAAAACACCCCUGAAACAUGUAAA